rnacentral:lncRNA from 1 species
GCCUGUUAUACCCUGUGAGCAAAGUCCUCUCGUAUUUCUUCUCGGCACGGCACAGAGAAGCGAGAGAGACUCUGCAGAACUUGUGUAUAAAUUCAUUUGAGCAUGCGCGAAGGUUGCUAAGCAACUGCCUAUUUCCCAGAAGAAGAUUUAAUAAGUAGUUUCCGGUUCGGAUCAAAACCGGUUAUAAAACUGGUAUCAAACCUGAAAUUACUCAUAAUUAUCCAAGUUUUUGGAUUGUCGGCUCCACAAAGAAUAUACACAAGUUCUGCAGAGUCUCUCUCGUGCUGAGAAGAAAUACGAGAGGACUUUGCUCGCAGGGUAAGUCUGUUACUGAAGUCAAUAAAAAGUGGACAGUGAUUGGGAUGCACAAAAAUAACAACCAAUCAAAAUGGCGAUUGUUAAUUACGUAUCAGUCAAUUCCAGCAGUGCCCAUCCCCCCGAGGUAUUAGCCAUUUCUGGGAAGAAAAUGGCUAUGUCCACAAGCCAUUUGCAAUCAAAUUAAAUAUCAGUUUUCCAGCAAAUCCCCCAUGAUGGAAAAUGUCAAAAUCCUCAUGCCAGGGCUAAAAAAUAUCGGCAAUAGCCCCACCCCCGUGAUUAGGAAAAGCUGCAAAGGCCCAGGGGUGGGAACUGCUGGAAUUAAUUGAUACAUUAGAUUAUCAAAGCUAAUUUAAAAUAUGACAAUAAUGGCCAACUUUUCCACCAAUAUCUCAAAACUAAAUAUUCCAAUUUUCAU